rnacentral:tRNA from 1 species
GGUGGCUCAGUGUUAGAGUGCUUGCCUUGCAUGCAUGAGGCCCUGAGUUCGAUUCCUAGUACCA